rnacentral:misc_RNA from 1 species
UCCGGUUUGUCACCGGCAGUCUCCCUAGAGUUCCCGACCGAAUCGCUGGCAAAUAGGGACAGGGGUUGCGCUCGUUACGGGACUUAACCCAACAUUUCACAACACGAGCUGACGACAGCCAUGCAGCACCGGUGCAGCACCCUCGAAGGCGGCCGCGUUUCCGCGACCUGCAGCUGCAUGUCAAGCCUGGGUAAGGUUCUGCGUGUUGCGUCGAAUUAAACCACACGCUCCGCUGCUUGUGCGGGCCCCCGUCAAUUCCUUUGAGUUUUAGCCUUGCGGCCGUAGUCCCCAGGCGGUGGACUCAUCGCGUAAGCUUAGGCACCGAGGGGCGCAAUCACCCCCCAGCACCGGGUCCACAUCAUUUACGGCGUGGACUAC